UACGUAGGGUCCGAGCGUUGUCCGGAUUUUAUUGGGUGUAAAAGAGCUCGUAGGCGGUUCCGUAAGUCAGAUGUGAAAACUCAGGGCUCAACCCGGAGACGCCAUCUGAUACUGCGGUGACUGGAGUCUGGUAGGGGAACACGGAAUUCCUGGUGUAGCGGUGAAAUGCGCAGAUAUCAGGAGGAACACCGGUGGCGAAGGCGGUUCUCUGGGCAUGUUCUGACGCUGAGGAGCGAAAGUGUGGGGAGCGAACAGG
rnacentral:rRNA from 1 species